rnacentral:rRNA from 1 species
GAUGAACGCUGGCGGCGCGCCUAACACAUGCAAGUCGAACGAUUAAAGCACCUUCGGGUGUGUAUAAAGUGGCGAACGGCUGAGUAACACGUGGGCAACCUGCCCCUUUCAUUGGGAUAGCCACGGGAAACCGUGGAUAAUACCGAAUACUUCGAGACUUCCGCAUGGAAGACUCGAGAAAGCUCCGGCGGAGAGGGAUGGGCCCGCGGCCUGUUAGCUUGUUGGUGGGGUAACGGCCUACCAAGGCAAUGAUGGGUAGCUGGGUUGAGAGACCGACCAGCCAGAUUGGGACUGAGACACGGCCCAGACUCCUACGGGAGGCAGCAGUGGGGAAUCUCGCACAAUGGGCGAAAGCCUGAUGCAGCGACGCCGCGUGCGGGAUGAAGGCCUUCGGGUUGUAAACCGCUUUCAGCAGGGACGAGGCGAAAGUGACGGUACCUGCAGAAGAAGCCCCGGCUAACUACGUG